ACAAUAAUUGCAUGUGAGAUAACACUGUGCUGUUUUAAAAAAAGAGGAUCCUCCCUUGACCACUGAAGAUCAGAGCCUCCAGAGCAGCCAACGUCGCUUCAUCCCAUCAUUCCAGGAGCCUAAAGUGUGCAUGAGAAACGACCACAUGUGCGGGUAACAUUGCAAGACCUUCCCCAUGCAGUGAAACUGAAAUGAGAAGCAAAGCACCCUUUGAGAUGGCACACUGAGACAUUAACUCAUAAGAAGAGCAGUGCUUCUCAAGUACACUAGAAGCAUAAAUGUAACAGCUCUUCUGAGUUCUGUGACUCCUUCUAACCAAUCAUCAAACUGGAGCCUGCUCUAGAGGACCCCAAAGAGGCCGAUGAAUAAACUAUGUCUGAUAUGGACACGCUUUGCCCAACUCUAAUAAUAUGGGAAUUACUAGUUUGCUGUGAACUUACCCUCCUUUGAAUUCCUUGGGCAGUGGCCUCAAUCCAGGAGAAAGGUAUGCUGAGAUAUGCUUCACUCCAUACUCCUCGUUCAACAUGCCAUCGCCUUGUAGGAGAAGAGCAUUGGAAUCCACAGAUGAGCACAAUACUUUGGAGUUAACCUUCUGGAAGAAAGCAGUGUAGCACAUUGAGAAGAGACAGUUUGACUAUAUACAAAAUUAUGAUGCCAAAUUUUAAAAAAUUAGAUGUUUAUAUAAUAUCAGGGAAUCCAAUAUCAAUCAAUCUGUUGGGUGCUUGAAAGUGGCCCUCCUUUGAUCAGCUUGGUUUCUACAGUCCAAGUGCUGUUGGGGAUGGGAUUCUCUCUACUUCAACCUCAUAAAUGGAGAUUUCAGAAAGGGCAAUACCCCAAAGUAAAAGUGGAGUGCAACUUUCCAACACAAUGGGAGUUCUCUGAGCAGUAAACCUAAUGAUGUCUACCACAGUCUGUCUUUAGCCUAGCUUACAGAUAGUCAUCUUGCUUCAAUUCAUUUUCCCACAUGACUAACUCACUGAAUGGCUAAUUUGCCAAAUUCUCAAUUUUUCUAAUAACCGAUGACCCCAAAAAGACAUACUAAAAAUGAGUCUAAUAAUUUUUAAUGUCCAAAACUAUCUAAACAUGAAAACUAUUUUUCAUAUAUUACAUCUAUUCAUAAAAGCAUAUUUCACCAUGAAACAAUUUUUUAAAAAUUCUAUUUCUUUCUGGCAAUUUUAUAAACCUUUGACUAAUCAAAUACCGUACUUUUAAUUUAGCCAAUUUCCUUUUAAUCUGCCUCUCAUCAUCUCAUAUUAGUCUUCACUAUAUAUUGGUUUCUAGAGACUAAACAUAAGAUUCAUAAGACUCAUCCUUAAAACACAGAUUCAUUUUUCUUCACAAACUUUGGUAUACAUCUGUAAUCUGCUAUUUGAUGAAGGCUGGUAGAUCCUAUUUUUUCUUUUAAAAAGCAAAAUUUUAGUAUUUCCUCAGUGACAGGAUAUUUACAGCCAAUUAUGUAUUUUUCUUUGGUUUUGAUUUUAUGAAGAAUUUAUUACAAUGUCAAAUUUAAUUUAGUGACAAAUGAAAAUGACAAAAUUAAUUUAAUACAUAUAUAUAUAUAUAUACACAUAUAUAUAUACACACACGAACCCACAUUUUGAUUAACUUUAACUUACAUUCUGCUUUCCUUCAAGCUUGGACUUAAAAUUUAGCUAUUUUAAAGAAUUGUAGUGAAAAAAGAAACCAUGAUGAUGUACCUGCUCUGCUGGCAUUUCCAAGCUUGCACUAAGCUUGCACACCAUGACAUGGAAUGUCUAGGUUUCAAUUUAUCUCUGUUGAUUUUAUCCUCACAAUAGUCUCCUUAGAUGCUCAAUCAGUGGAUCUCAAGACUGUGAUACCCAAACCAGCAGCAUCAGCAAAACCUAUGCGAUUGUUAGAAGACAAACUCCCCAAUCCCACCCAAGGCACGUUGAUUCAGAAGGAUAGUAGAGCAGCAAUCACAUAGCGAGAACCUUGCAGCAUGCUACCUUUAGAGAACAAACAAAACUCACCAUGAGAUAACACAAGCCUAUCUGAAAGUCCCUGGAAUCCAGAGAAUUCUAUGCUGUUUUUUUUAAAAAGACAUUUUACGUUACUCUCUCCCGAGAAGGAGCACAACCUUUUCACUGGCAUGUUCAGACCUUAACUUAUAGAGAAGCGCAGUGGUUCUCAAAGUGUGGUCCUCAGAUCGGCAACAACUGGGCACCUGUGAGAUAUACACAUUCUCAAACUCCCCACUCAGACCUAUCUAGCCAGAAACUAUGAGGCAGGAGUGGGGCCAAAUGAUGUGGACUUCAACAAGCACCCGAGGGAUUCCAAUGAGUGCCAAGUUGGAGAAAACUAGUCCCUCAGUCACUUGUUUCAAAUAGUAUCUGCAAAGAGAAAUUCUCCAGGGAUUCAUUAAAAACAACUGGAGCAUGUCUUUUUUACGACUGGAGAUUUUGGUGAACUUAAGGCGUUUUGGCUUCAGCAACAGGUAGAUUCAAGCCCCUAACUGGAUUCGAAUAAGCAGGAAGUUUGAGACCCUCUACUCUAGGCUAUCCUGCCCGACUAUAACUAAUACCCUGGGAAAGGACCUCGUCUUCCUAAAAAUCUCAGGAAAACACCUCACAUUGACCAAACACGGGUUAUGUGCUCACUCCAACUGUUAAGAUUAGGCCUGGGGCAUAGAAGACUGAAGGAUGGAGCCUUGGCAUUCUUCCCAUGGUGUUGGGGAG
ensembl:lncRNA